GAGCCGCACAGCCAGAGCUGCUAGAGGCCGGAGCCUGCAGGGGCGGGGGGCUGAACCACCACGCACUGUGGCCUUGGCCCCGGGCUCCGAAACAACCGGAGAAUGGAAGGUGCCGUCUGCAAAGCUCCCACGCGCGCGGCUCCCCUCGGGUGGUGAAUGAACCCCGAGGCCGGAGGUCGAGGGCUGCCACCCCACCCACGGCCGCACCGCACCCAGACCCGAUCCGCACAGCCUCUUGGUGCACUGGCGCGGGACUGCUUUGUGCCGAGCCCAUGAACUUUCGCUCUGCGUCGUCCCGUCGCCUUAGAAGGUUCUUUCCGGUCCACAGCCCCGGACUGAGGCCUUGCACCGUGGGAGUGAGAACCAGUAUCCUCCCACGCGUGUCCCGCGGUGGGGACAGAAUGCCACACACAGACCCUCGAAGGAGACCCUGCACAUAGGCACAGCUUCGUACACAGACUGGCACUGGGCCCUGCGCCCCACACACUGCCACGGACGCGAGAAGUCACAGGGUCGGGACCGCUCUGCCGGCCAGCGGAGGGGCCCUGCCAGGUCGCCCUCCACACCCUCCACCUCUGGCCUGGGCCUGGGGACGGUGGACGGCAGCUGAGCCUGGGUGAUUCAGCCAGGGUGUGCAACACAGGUCCCCCCUGCAGGCUGCCCAAGGGGGUGGGGUUCCAGGAGGGGAAGUAAAUGGCUGGAAGUCACAGCCGGACCUUGGACUGGCAGCCACAGGCUGGGAGCUUUGCCAUCUAGGUGCACAGGGUUGAUGCCUCUCACAGCCCCCAACAGGGAAAUGUCACCACGCCCCUGUUCCUUUCUCUACCGCAAGGAUCUUAGCGGAAGUCAAGCUCAAGGACAAGAUCCCCAACAGCAGCGGAACCCACUGACCUGGCUGGGGUGCAGAUUGGAGAUGCCAGCCACCGGUUUCUCUGGAGCCCGGAGAAGAAUCCCAGUCUUUGAAAUGGCAAAACCCACAAAAGGUCACAUCCCUGUGUUUGAAAGAUGUGCGGGGACCAUGCUGACAAAUUCUGGAAAGAUACAGACCAUAAUGAGUUGUUUGGAGGGAAUUAGGGAGAUAACAAGGUACGCGGAAGUCUCUAGAACUGUGUGUGGUGUGUGGAGAAAGUGAAAGCACUGUCCCACGUACUACGCAACAGGCACCAAGAGAUCUGGGUUGCCCAAGUCACACAGCUGGUUAGGGCACAGGGAGGAAAAUCAGUCUCCUGAUUCCUAGUCAGGGCUCUGGUUCCUCCAGUGCUUUCUGAAACCAGUGAGGAUAUAAAUAGUCUAGGGGAUAAACAAGUGAGUUGUACUACAGUUAAAAAUCAGAUUAAAGAACUUAGAUUUCUGUCCCUCUGCUUGUUAUGGCCAAAAGGAACAGGUCCUCGAAAGUCAGCUAGAGUGAGACAGGAAACCAAGUGCAUUCCCGCCACCCCUCAUCCUUGUUCGGCUUAGGGACCCACUAAGGGGAGAGUUUAUUUGUCCUUGUCCCUCUCUUGACACCUCCCGGUCAUCUCACUGUUGCAGCCUAGGCCUCCCUCAGGUGCCCACUGAUCUCCCAAAUGCCAGCCCUGCUGAAUUCCGCCUUCCUCUUCCUACUCAAAUGGGCCACAGCAUUCCUAAGUGUGGUCAGAUAAGACCCCAAAGGCUAAAGUCAGGGAAGAACUAGAGGCAACUAACAACAAACCAGGUAAAUGUUUUAAGUUAUAGGCAUUCCUCGUUUAAGGAUCAAGUUUUAUCCUUGCUACUAUGUUGUGAAAUGAACUGGUCCCUAAAUGAUAAAGGAGGAGGUAUAGAUAGUACGGACAUUACACUAUUCAGAACAAAGAAAAGGAAACUCCAACUUGAUGACUUUGCUUUUUUUUUUUUGAGACAGAGUCUGGCUUUGUAGUUCAGGUUGGCCUUGAAAUCACUAUGUAGUUCAGGCUGGCCUUGAACUCGUGGUGAUCCUCCUGCCUCAGCCUCCCAAGUGCUGGGAUCACAGGUAUGCACCACCACACCCUUUGAUGACUUUGCUUUGAUUUGUAUAACUCUCACAUGCAGUAUUGUAAUGUAUAACAGAACAUAAAACUAUACUACUGUACUGUACACUACAAGCAGCAAAAAUUGCAGUACUGUGUAAAGUGUACUGUACAAAAAAGACACUGAGGCUCUAUAAAGAUGUCCAGAACUCUGCAGAAAAGAUGGGUCAUAAGUCUGAGCAGUGGGACAUAAAUCGAAACAGUUGUUAAACAGGUGGGUCAGAAAUGAGAAAUACCUACAUGUUAGGAAAAGAGGACAGCUAUGCAAAACCAUCUGCUUAAAGGGGAGAGGGAGCCUCCAUGUUUAUUCGCAUAAUCUGCCCCUCCUGUUCCUUUAAUUUUGUUUUGCUCUGGUUUUUCUGUUUUUGGGGGUUUUUUUGGGGCGAUGGGGUCUCCUUAUGUCACCCAUGCUGGCCUCGAACUUGGGCUCCAGCAAUCCCUUGCCUUGGCCUCCUGGGUAGCUGGAACUGGAAGCUCGGGCCAACAUACCCAGCUGUUCCCUUGGUAUUUUUAUUCUCAAAGCACAGGAUGAAGGAGCCUAAUUACAUGUGCUGAUCUUCUGUCAUCUUUACUCAUUUUCAUUAAGUUUUGAGUCCUCACUCUCCACUUGAUUCAAAAAAGUGGUUCAACUGUAGUUAAAAAGCAAAGUUAAUUAAAAUCUUAAUCUUUUUUUUUUUUUUAAAGUCAACUCCCCAAGCUUAGACCAAAGCUUAUCCCUCACUGAGGCUCUCAGAGUUCGGGACCUGGGGCAGAGUUGGGGUUGGGGUAAGAGAAAAUGACUGGCAAAGAGAAAAUGACACUUGUGUUCACAUUAUUCAG
ensembl:lncRNA